rnacentral:rRNA from 1 species
UACGUAGGGGGCAAGCGUUGUCCGGAUUUAUUGGGCGUAAAGAGCGUGUAGGCGGCCAGGUAGGUCUGCUGUGAAAACUCGAGGCUUAACCUCGAGAUGUCGGCGGAAACCAUCUGGCUAGAGUCCGGAAGAGGAGAGUGGAAUUCCUGGUGUAGCGGUGAAAUGCGCAGAUAUCAGGAAGAACACCAAUAGCGAAGGCAGCUCGCUGGGACGUUACUGACACUGAGGCGCGAAAGCGUGGGGAGCGAACAGG